GGGGCGGUGGCGGAACGGUAGACGCCGCGGACUUAAAAUCCGCUGGGCUUGCGCCCGUGUGGGUUCGAAUCCCACCCGCCCUA
rnacentral:tRNA from 1 species